UCCUACGGGACGCAGCAGUGGGGGAUAUUGCACAAUGGGGGAAACCCUGAUGCAGCGACGCCGCGUGUGGGAAGACGGUCCUCUGGAUUGUAAACCACUGUCCCCAGGGACGAAAAUGACGGUACCUGGGGAGGAAGCUCCGGCUAACUACGUGCCAGCAGCCGCGGUAAUACGUAGGGAGCGAGCGUUGUCCGGAAUUACUGGGUGUAAAGGGAGCGUAGGCGGGGAUGCAAGUUGGGUGUGAAAAGUACCGGUUGAACUGGUAGUGGGAGUAA
rnacentral:rRNA from 1 species